UACGUAGGGCGCGAGCGUUGUCCGGAAUUAUUGGGCGUAAAGAGCUCGUAGGCGGCUUGUCACGUCGGGUGUGAAAGACCGGGGCUUAACUCCGGUUCUGCAUUCGAUACGGGCUAGCUAGAGUGUGGUAGGGGGAGAUCGGAAUUCCUGGUGUAGCGGUGAAAUGCGCAGAUAUCAGGAGGAACACCGGUGGUGAAGGCGGAUCUCUGGGCCAUUACUGACGCUGAGGAGCGAAAGCGUGGGGAGCGAACAGG
rnacentral:rRNA from 1 species